rnacentral:rRNA from 1 species
UACGUAGGGUGCGAGCGUUGCCCGGAUUUAUUGGGCGUAAAGGGCGCGUAGGCGGCUUUAUAAGUCGGGGGUGAAAGCCUGUGGCUCAACCACAGAAUUGCCUUCGAUACUGUAGAGCUUGAGACCGGAAGAGGUAAGUGGAACUGCGAGUGUAGAGGUGAAAUUCGUAGAUAUUCGCAAGAACACCAGUGGCGAAGGCGGCUUACUGGUCCGGUUCUGACGCUGAGGCGCGAAAGCGUGGGGAGCAAACAGG